rnacentral:rRNA from 1 species
AUUGAACGCUGGCGGCAGGCCUAACACAUGCAAGUCGAACGAGUGGCGGACGGGUGAGUAAUGUCUGGGAAACUGCCUGAUGGAGGGGGAUAACUACUGGAAACGGUAGCUAAUACCGCAUACCAUCAGAGGUGCCCAGAUGGGAUGAGCUUGGUGGUGGGGUAACGGCUCGCCAAGGCGACGAUCCCUAGCUGGGCUGAGAGGAUAAACAGCCACACUGGAACGGAGCAACGGUCCAGACUCCUAGGGGAGGCAGCAGGGGGAAAUAUUGCACAAGGGGCGCAAGCCUGAUGCAGCACUGCCGCGUGUAUGAAGAAGGCUUUCGGGUUGUAAAGUACUUUCAGCGGGGAGGCGUUACCCGCAGAAGAAGCACCGGCUAACUCCGUGCCAGCAGCCGCGGUAAUAC